rnacentral:rRNA from 1 species
UACGAAGGGGGCUAGCGUUGUUCGGAUUUACUGGGCGUAAAGCGCACGUAGGCGGAUUGGUCAGUUAGGGGUGAAAUCCUGGAGCUCAACUCCAGAACUGCCUUUAAUACUGCCAGUCUCGAGUCCGGAAGGGGUAAGUGGAACUCCUAGUGUAGAGGUGGAAUUCGUAGAUAUUAGGAAGAACACCAGUGGCGAAGGCGGCUUACUGGUCCGGUACUGACGCUGAGGUGCGAAAGCGUGGGGAGCAAACAGG